CCUACGGGCUGCAGCAGUGGGGAAUAUUGGACAAUGGGCGAAAGCCUGAUCCAGCCAUGCCGCGUGUGUGAAGAAGGCCUUCGGGUUGUAAAGCACUUUCAGUGGGGAAGAAAGCCUUGGGGCUAAUACCCUCGAGGAAGGACAUCACCCACAGAAGAAGCACCGGCUAACUCCGUGCCAGCAGCCGCGGUAAUACGGAGGGUGCGAGCGUUAAUCGGAAUUACUGGGCGUAAAGCGCGCGUAGGCGGUCUGAUAAGCCGGUUGUGAAAGCCCCGGGCUCAACCUGGGAACGGCAGCCGGAACUGUCAGGCUAGAGUGCAGGAGAGGAAGGUAGAAUUCCCGGUGUAGCGGUGAAAUGCGUAGAGAUCGGGAGGAAUACCAGUGGCGAAGGCGGCCUUCUGGACUGACACUGACGCUGAGGUGCGAAAGCGUGGGUAGCAAACAGGAUUAGAUACCCUAGUAGUC
rnacentral:rRNA from 1 species